UCCAUCGCAGCUUUGGCUGUGAAUGGAGUGUCUUGUGUUAAAUGUCAACUACCACCUAAACCUCUUAAAGACUCAACCCACUUAACCUCCUUUCAUCUUCAUUUGAGAAACCCUAGCCCACACAAUCCUGUUACUACACCCUCAACAUCUCUUACCCUUUUUCCCUAUUUCAAACUCUCUACACUUGCUAGAAACCCACUUCGAAUAACCCUCCCUGUUUAAAUAAACACACACUCACCACAUCUACACCUCGCCGGAACUUCAAGCUUUUCACCGGAACAAACGGAGUCGCCACCACCACUCGUAAUCUCUUCAUCGCUACUUGUUGUCGCUUCUACUCGUCUGGAACCACUUCGACUGUUGUUACGUCGGAACCGACUCGGCUCGCUCGAUAUACAUUUUCCUUGUUUCGUUUGGUGUUGUUUAAAUCUUCUGUCAAUAUAAUUUUUGUUCCUUUCGUUUUGUUAAACCUUCCGCAACUCGCUGGAACUUUCAAGACUUCGUCGGAGAAUGGAGAAGACGACCGGAGACCCGCGGCUCUUCCCUUUCUGUUUCGGUGGAUGUCGACGAUGCAUGGAAUUUAGUAGGAUGCAUAGAUACACACUUAAAAAGAAUUGUAUUCAUAUUGUAUUAUUUUAUUAUUCAUGUUGUUGUAUUGUUUCAAAAGCCUUGUAAUUGAUCCUUUAGAAAUGGAAUGAAAUGAUUAUUUAAAUACUUGUCA